GGAACGCUAAUACCGCAUACGUCCUACGGGAGAAAGCAGGGGACCUUCGGGCCUUGCGCUAUCAGAUGAGCCUAGGUCGGAUUAGCUAGUUGGUGAGGUAAUGGCUCACCAAGGCGACGAUCCGUAACUGGUCUGAGAGGAUGAUCAGUCACACUGGAACUGAGACACGGUCCAGACUCCUACGGGAGGCAGCAGUGGGGAAUAUUGGACAAUGGGCGAAAGCCUGAUCCAGCCAUGCCGCGUGUGUGAAGAAGGUCUUCGGAUUGUAAAGCACUUUAAGUUGGGAGGAAGGGCAGUAAGCUAAUACCUUGCUGUUUUGACGUUACCGACAGAAUAAGCACCGGCUAACUCUGUGCCAGCAGCCGCGGUAAUACAGAGGGUGCAAGCGUUAAUCGGUAUCACUGGGCGUAAAGCGCGCGUACGUGGUUAGUUAAGCUGGAUCUGAAAUCCCCGAGCUCAACGUGCGAACUGCAUCCAGAACUAGCCAGCUAKAGUACGGUAGAGGAUCGUYGAAUUUCAUGUGUUGCGGUGAAAUGCAUAGCUAUAGCAAUGAACACCAGUGACUAAGGAGAWCACGUAGKCUGAMACUGAGACUGSASUGCGAAAGCGUGGGGAGCUAACAGGAUUCGAUAGCCUGGUAAUCGACGACGUAAACGACGUCAACUAUCKAUUGMGAUWCACGAGAUCUUAGAGGCYCGGCUAUCGGACUUAGUUGUCCGCAUGGCGAKUACUGCCGCAAGGUUAGAACUCCRKCGAAUUGACGGGGGCCCGCRCACGCCGUGGUGSSUGACGCUUAAUUCGAAGCAGUMCCAGGCACCUUCCGAGGCCUUYGCCUGCAKMGAUAUCUMCCGAGAUGGAUUGGGACCKACGGGARAUCCGAGACAGGUGCUGCAUCGCYGUAWKUAGCUCAUYRCGUGAGAUGUUGGGUCACGUCCCGUAWCCAGUGCGACCCUCGSGCUUAGUUAYCAGCSCWCRAUGGUGGGCACUCUAAGGAUACUMUCGGUGUCCAARCUGCGGAAGGUGGCUAAGUCGUCMWRUCUGGAUGUACCAUAUGGCCCGGGCUACACUCGUGCGCCCAUGGUCGGUUCAGAGGGUUGCCAAGCAGCGAGGUUGAGCUAAUCUCACAAAACUGAUCGUACUCCGGAUCGCCCGCUUCAAUUCGACUGCGUUUAGUCGGAAUCGCUCGUGAUUGCGAUUCAGAAUGUGUCGAUGCAGUCCUUAUAGAGCCUUGUAUUUACCGCCCGUGACAACUAUACGUAGUAAG
rnacentral:rRNA from 1 species